GAUCUGUUUGAGCAAAACCGGGGAAACCCGGUGACGCAAAGCUAUAGGGCCUGUAACAUGGCAGCCAGUUGCGAUC
rfam:Oribacterium sp. ACB1 genomic scaffold acqcx-supercont2.1, whole genome shotgun sequence.